rnacentral:rRNA from 1 species
ACACACCGCCCGUCAAACCAUGAGAGUCGGCAACACCCGAAGUCGGUAGUCUAACCGCAAGGAGGACGCCGCCGAAGGUGGGGUUGAUGAUUAGGGUUAAGUCGUAACAAGGUAAC